rnacentral:rRNA from 1 species
UACGAUCUUUUUCGUCGCAUGACGAAAAGAAGAAAAAGGAUGGCCUCUAUACAAAGCUAUCGCCGAAGGAGGGGUUUGCGUCUGAUUAGCUGGUUGGAGGGUAACGGCCCAACAAGGCGAUGAUCAGUAGCCGGUCUGAGAGGAUGAACGGCCACAUUGGGACUGAGACACGGCCCAGACUCCUACGGGAGGCAGCAGUGGGGAAUCUUCCGCAAUGGACGAAAGUCUGACGGAGCAACGCCGCGUGAGUGAAGAAGGUCUUCGGAUUGUAAAACUCUGUUAUACGGGACGAAAAAGACGGAUGCCAACAGUAUCCGUCCGUGACGGUACCGUAAGAGAAAGCCACGGCUAACUACGUGCCAGCAGCCGCGGUAAAU